rnacentral:tRNA from 1 species
GCUUCCGUAGCUCAGUGGUAGAGCGCAUCCUUGGUAAGGAUGAGGUCAAGAGUUCAAUCCUCUUCGGAAGCUCCA